rnacentral:rRNA from 1 species
CGUACACUCCUGCGGGAGGCAGCAGUGGGGAAUAUUGGACAAUGGGCGCAAGCCUGAUCCAGCCAUGCCGCGUGAGUGAUGAAGGCCCUAGGGUUGUAAAGCUCUUUCACCGGUGAAGAUAAUGACGGUAACCGGAGAAGAAGCCCCGGCUAACUUCGUGCCAGCAGCCGCGGUAAUACGAAGGGGGCUAGCGUUGUUCGGAUUUACUGGGCGGAAAGCGCACGUAGGCGGACUAUUAAGUCAGGGGUGAAAUCCCGGGGCUCAACCCCGGAACUGCCUUUGAUACUGGUAGUCUUGAGUUCGAGAGAGGUGAGUGGAAUUCCGAGUGUAGAGGUGAAAUUCGUAGAUAUUCGGAGGAACACCAGUGGCGAAGGCGGCUCACUGGCUCGAUACUGACGCUGAGGUGCGAAAGCGUGGGGAGCAAACAGGAUUAGAAACCCCUGUAGUCCCAUG